GACGAACGCUGGCGGCGUGCUUAACACAUGCAAGUCGAACGGAAAGGCCCUGCUUUUGUGGGGUGCUCGAGUGGCGAACGGGUGAGUAACACGUGAGUAACCUGCCCUUGACUUUGGGAUAACUUCAGGAAACUGGGGCUAAUACCGGAUAGGAGCUCCUGCUGCAUGGUGGGGGUUGGAAAGUUUCGGCGGUCGGGGAUGGACUCGCGGCUUAUCAGCUUGUUGGCGGGGUAGUGGCUUACCAAGGCUUUGACGGGUAGCCGGCCUGAGAGGGUGACCGGCCACAUUGGGACUGAGAUACGGCCCAGACUCCCACGGGAGGCAGCAGUGGGGAAUAUUGCACAAUGGGCGGAAGCCUGAUGCAGCAACGCCGCGUGCGGGAUGACGGCCUUCGGGUUGUAAACCGCUUUCGCCUGUGACGAAGCGUGAGUGACGGUAAUGGGUAAAGAAGCACCGGCUAACUACGUG
rnacentral:rRNA from 1 species